GCAUCCUCAUCGCAUUUAUCACAAUUUUAUUACUUCUAACAUGAGUAUUUCAAAUUUGAACCAUUCAAAGAUAAGAUGAAAUUAUACCAUUGUAGAUUUUAUGAUUAAUUUCAAUUUUUUUCUCACAAUAUAUAAAAUUAUAUUUUGUUUAGCCCCUUAGCUUUCAGUGGAAGAGUUGCUCUGAAUAAUAAAAUACACCGUAACUCUAAAUGGGAAUCUUCCACAAAUAUAAUUAUAGAGAUGAUAUGCAAUCUCAUUUGGCAGUUCACAAAAUUUUAAAUCUUCUAUUGUGAUUUCCCUAAAUUUAAUGGAAUUGGUAGGUUUAGUAUUUAAACCACAACUGCAGUUAACUUUUUAAAGAACAUUGUAUAUGGUAUAAAGUAGCAUUCCACCUUAAAUGGCCAGUUGAUUGCUCAGGCUAUGUCACUUUCUAAAUUUAGGUUCAACGAGAGCAGGUUGAUGGUUAUUUGUGUCAGAUAUCUCUCAGCAGAGCAGGAGUGAUGAAAAAACCAAAAUCAAAAACGAGGGAGUGCGGUGAAUAUCAUUUGUUUUCCUUCUACCAGACUCAGGAUUAUAUGAUAUUUGGGACCCAGAUUGCUUCAAGGAUUAUUUUUAUAUGUAGUUAAAAAGGUAAUAUGUUAUUUAUGGAAAUACUAUAAUGCAUUAAACAUUAUGCUGAAAUCUGUGUUACUUUUAAGUCUAUUUUUCUCUCUUGUGGGGGUGUCAUAUCACAUGCCUGCCAAAAUUAGUCUUGAUGGAUCUGAAUUAUAUAUCUAAACGUUUGUUGUUUUUGCUGUUGUUAGAG
rnacentral:lncRNA from 1 species